rnacentral:snRNA from 1 species
CUUGCUUCGGCAGUACAUACACACAUUGGAGCGAUACACAGAAGAUUAGCAUGACCCCUGCUCAAGGAUGACGUGCAAAUUUGUGAAGCAUUCCAUAUUUAA